AUUUAAAUAGUUUAAUUAAAACAAAAGAUUGUGGUUCUUUAAAUAUAUGUAAAUAUUUUAAAUA
rnacentral:tRNA from 1 species